rnacentral:rRNA from 1 species
UACAUAGGGGGCAAGCGUUAUCCGGAAUUAUUGGGCGUAAAGGGUGCGUAGGCGGCUGAUUAAGUCUGGUGUGAAAUUUCACGGCUUAACCGUGAAGGGUCAUUGGAAACUGAUUGGCUUGAAUACAGAAGAGGUAAGUGGAAUUCCAUGUGUAGCGGUAAAAUGCUUAGAUAUAUGGAGGAACACCAGUGGCGAAGGCGGCUUACUGGUCUGUCAUUGACGCUGAUGCACGAAAGCGUGGGUAGCAAACAGGAUUAGAUACCCUGGUAGUCCACGCCGUAAACGAUGAGCACUAAGUGUCGGGCGAGAGCUCGGUGCUGAAGUUAACGCAUUAAGUGCUCCGCCUGGGGAGUACGGUCGCAAGACUGAAACUCAAAGGAAUUGACGGGGACUCGCACAAGCGGUGGAGCAUGUGGUUUAAUUCGACGCAACGCGAAAAACCUUACCAGGUCUUGACAUCCCUCUGACGUCACUAGAGAUAGUGAUUCCCUUCGGGGCAGAGGUGACAGGUGGUGCAUGGUU